UGGGGAAUAUUGCACAAUGGGGGAAACCCUGAUGCAGCGACGCCGCGUGAGCGAAGAAGGUUUUCGAAUCGUAAAGCUCUGUCCUAUGAGAAGAUAAUGACGGUAUCAUAGGAGGAAGCCCCGGCUAAAUACGUGCCAGCAGCCGCGGUAAUACGUAUGGGGCGAGCGUUGUCCGGAAUUAUUGGGCGUAAAGGGUACGUAGGCGGUCUAUUAAGUCAGGUGUGAAAGCGUGAGGCUUAACCUCAUUAAGCACUUGAAACUGAUAGACUUGAGUGAAGGAGAGGAAAGUGGAAUUCCUAGUGUGGCGGUGAAAUGAGUAGAUAUUAGGAGGAAUACCGGUGGCGAAGGCGACUUUCUGGACUUUUACUGACGCUCAGGUACGAAAGCGUGGGGAGCAAACAGG
rnacentral:rRNA from 1 species